UUCAGCUAUUGGCAUCACCUACUUUUGUACAUAAUAUGAUGGUUUUCAUUAAAAGUAACAAAUAACUCACUGCUUCAUAUAUCCAAUUGGUAAAAAAACAAGAGCUAAGUAAUGAAUGGGAUUGAAGAAUAAUAGCAGAAAACAAAGACUAAAGUAAAUUACUACAAUUUUGAUCAGAAGUUGCAGAGAAUCAGAUGUGACUGCGCUACUAUUACUGUCCUUGAUGGAGUCUGCCUGCAAACGGGAUAUUCUGUCAAGGUAUAGAUAGGUAACAGCGGACAUGCUUGAAAACGAGGUGUCUGCUGUCCUUGGGAGGGCCUUCUCGCAAAGGAGAGGCUCCUUCAAGGUUUAGAUAAGGUAACAGCGGACAUGCUUGAAAACGAGGUGUCUGCUGCCCUUGGGAGGACUUGCCUGCAAACGGGAUGUUCUGCCAAGUGGGCUAGGAGGGCGCUGAGAAAAAUUUUAUUAUCUGUUCUUAACAAAGAGCAGAGCUCAACAUACUCCUGACCGAGAGUAGAUUAGCCAUGAGAAGGGGGUCACUUCUGAUUAGAAAGUAAAACUUCUGUGUGCUAUGUUUAAUUAGCUGAAAGACCUGAUUUAUUGAUGUUGGAAGGCUGCCUUCUUUGUUCACAAUACUAUAAAAAGAUUGCUGUACACAAUAAAGGACUUUUUUUUCUGCUGCUGCUUUGCUUGCUCUUCUUCUUCUUUCUUUUCUCAUGCUGACCUGCAAGUGAAUUACUGCAACAUUUGGCGUAGUCGGCAGGAUCCAGCACCGAAAGGGUAAAACACCUUUCUGUGUACCUUCAAGACUUAUCAAAUUGCAGAAUGAACGACCCAUUUGUCAGACAAUUUCAGGAGCUGGCAAUGCAGAGAACUUCUAUGAUGGCAACGAGAACAGCAGACCCCCCAACAUGGGGACAGAUGAAAAAGUUGACUCAAGAAGCUGAAAAAACCCUUCAAAAGGCAAAUCAGCCUUUAAAUCCUGUUAAUCUUUUUUUUAGCUAUGCUUGCAGUUAUUAAUUGCCAGUCUUCCAACGCUGGAAAAAGUGAAGGCAACUGAAACAUGAAACCUCUCUUUUCGCUUCUGCUAUGGCUCAUUUAUAAAAACAAAAGGAGGGAGAUGUAGAGAAUCAGAUGUGACUGCAUUACUAUUACUGUGGAGUUUGCCUGCAAACGGGAUAUUCUGUCAAGGUAUAGAUAGGUAACAGCGGACAUGCUUGAAAACGAGGUGUCUGCUGCCCUUGGGAGGACUUGCCUGCAAACGGGAUGUUCUGCCAAGUGGGCUAGGAGGGCGCUGAGAAAAAUUUUAUUAUCUGUUCUUAACAAAGAGCAGAGCUCAACAUACUCCUGGCCGAGAGUAGAUUAGCCAUGAGAAGGGGGUCACUUCUGAUUAGAAAGUAAAACUUCUGUGUGCUAUGUUUAAUUAGCUGAAAGACCUGAUUUAUUGAUGUUGGAAGGCUGCCUUCUUUGUUCACAAUACUAUAAAAAGAUUGCUUGUGUACAAUAAAGGACUUUUUUUCUGCUGCU